rnacentral:rRNA from 1 species
AGCGAACGCUGGCGGCAGGCCUAACACAUGCAAGUCGAACGAAGUCUUCGGACUUAGUGGCGGACGGGUGAGUAACACGUGGGAACGUACCUUUUGGUUCGGAACAACUCAGGGAAACUUGAGCUAAUACCGGAUGAGCCCUUAGGGGGAAAGAUUUAUCGCCGAAAGAGCGGCCCGCGUUAGAUUAGCUAGUUGGUGAGGUAAAGGCUCACCAAGGCUACGAUCUAUAGCUGGUCUGAGAGGAUGAUCAGCCACACUGGGACUGAGACACGGCCCAGACUCCUACGGGAGGCAGCAGUGGGGAAUCUUGCGCAAUGGGCGAAAGCCUGACGCAGCCAUGCCGCGUGAAUGAUGAAGGUCUUAGGAUUGUAAAACUCUUUCGCCGGUGAAGAUAAUGACGGUAGCCGGAGAAGAAGCCCCGGCUAACUUCGUGCCAGCCGCCGCGGUAAUAC